CUCCUAACCCAUGUGACCAUACCAAACUGUUGCCUCGGCGGGGUCACGCCCCGGGNUGCGUCGCAGCCCCGGAACCAGGCGCCCGCCGGAGGGACCAACCAAACUCUUUCUGUAGUCCCCUCGCGGACGUUAUUUCUUACAGCUCUGAGCAAAAAUUCAAAAUGAAUCAAAACUUUCAACAACGGAUCUCUUGGUUCUGGCAUCGAUGAAGAACGCAGCGAAAUGCGAUAAGUAAUGUGAAUUGCAGAAUUCAGUGAAUCAUCGAAUCUUUGAACGCACAUUGCGCCCGCCAGUAUUCUGGCGGGCAUGCCUGUCCGAGCGUCAUUUCAACCCUCGAACCCCUCCGGGGGUCCGGCGUUGGGGAUCGGGAACCCCUAAGACGGGAUCCCGGCCCCGAAAUACAGUGGCGGUCUCGCCGCAGCCUCUCAUGCGCAGUAGUUUGCACAACUCGCACCGGGAGCGCGGCGCGUCCACGUCCGUAAAACACCCAACUUCUGAAAUGUUGACCUCGGAUCAGGUAGGAAUACCCGCUGAACUUAAGCAUAUCAAUAA
rnacentral:rRNA from 1 species